rnacentral:rRNA from 1 species
CCCUUAGAUGUUCUGGGCAGCACGCGCGCUACAAUGGUCUUCGCAAACGGAUGCAUUCUCGAAGGAGAAUGCCAAUCUUGGAAUCUAUGCCUUGGUCGGGACAGUUGCUUGCAAUUUUUCGACUCGAACCAGGAAUUCCUUGUAAUCGUGAUUCAUCACAUCACGAUGAAUACGUCCCUGCCCUUUGUACACACCGCCCGUCGCUCCUACCGAUCGAAGAGUUAGGAGAAUUGUUUUGAUCGAUAAGAUUUGACUAUGGUCAACUCUCGUUGUGAAAUUCUGUGAAUCUGACUGUUUAGAGGAAGGAAAAGUCGUAACA